AACGAACGCUGGCGGCAUGCCUAACACAUGCAAGUCGAACGAGAUCUUCGGGUCUAGUGGCGCACGGGUGCGUAACGCGUGGGAAUCUGCCCUUUGGUUCGGAAUAACAGUUGGAAACGACUGCUAAUACCGGAUGAUGACGAAAGUUCAAAGAUUUAUAGCCAGAGGAUGAGCCCGCGUAGGAUUAGCUAGUUGGUGUGGUAAAGGCGCACCAAGGCGACGAUCCUUAGCUGGUCUGAGAGGAUGAUCAGCCACACUGGGACUGAGACACGGCCCAGACUCCUACGGGAGGCAGCAGUGGGGAAUAUUGGACAAUGGGCGAAAGCCUGAUCCAGCAAUGCCGCGUGAGUGAUGAAGGCCUUAGGGUUGUAAAGCUCUUUUACCCGGGAUGAUAAUGACAGUACCGGGAGAAUAAGCUCCGGCUAACUCCGUGCCAGCCGCCGCCGUAA
rnacentral:rRNA from 1 species